UCCCCUCUUAACAACCCCCCCACCCCCCGCCCCCCAACCUGCAACCAGAGAAAGAGUCGCCUCUGGGGACCUCUGACUCCAUCCAGGCCUCAUGGGAUGUGAGAGGCAGGGCAGGCUAGGCUCUGGGGAGGGCGACGGAGAUCUAGGAUGGUUCUAGAAGACUUCUGAAGGCCCUAAACUAGGUGAAACGAUGAGCAGUCAUCCAUGUCACUUGAAGUUCGUUCACUUCAGUUCUCAUGGAGCCAGGGGCUCCGUGCCAAGCUGCGUGGGAGCUGGAGGUGCCGCGAGGGUGACGUCCGGCCCCGCGCUCCCCAGGGGGCUCAGGGGCCGGUGAGACGGACCGACCAGCAACUCAACACCUGCCGUGUGGUCGAUCCACAUACCACAGAAGUGUAUGCAACAGAGCAAAGAGGAGGGUCUUGUCUCGGGGUGCUGGGCCACAGCUGCUUCUGGCCCCUCCCCCUUGCUGAAAAGCAGCCACCACGACGACGACGAUACGGGGAACACGAAACAGAAACACAAACUCUCAUCUUCAAGGAAACCAGGAGACACCUGUGAACCCAGACCAGCCAGCGCCCAGCACACAACGGGAUGUUAGCAUAUGCAUCGUAAGGAGAGACUCGAUGUGCUUGCACCCUUGGACAUGCUCUCUUGUGCUGACAAAAGAACAUGCCUUGGUAAGCCCAGUGGUUCCAAGAAUGGGACGGCAGAGGUACCCAGGUGCCUGCAGCUCAGAGCCGACCUGCCUAGAUUAACCCACUCCAGAUGACCUGAAGGUGUGAGGUACAAUAAAUGCUUAUUCUCGUGCACCAAAGCCAUGUGCGUGGUUGUUUGUUACACAGCAGUAGCUGACUGAUACAGGGGGAUUCAGUGGAAGUCAGAAUACCGAACAGGGUGACCCUAGCCCGCCUCCUCUCCCUGGCUUAGUUCAGGAAUGCUAGCACCCAGGCAUACAGAUAGGAGUCGGUGGAUAGGAUCUGACCACCCCAGAGAGAAGUCUCACAGGUGCUGACCUCUGGUCCCAUCUAGGUAUGCUUGACGAAAGAGCCAGCUGUCCCUAUAGCGAUGUUCAUUGCCUCGCAAGCCCUGUCCUCCUACAUGGAGCGGCCAAUCUGAGUGUUAAGGCUUCAUUCCGAAAAAUGAAUGGGAAACAGAAGAUGAAUGGACGAUUGAAGAAAACUCAAUCAAACAGAGAAAAGAAUUAGCAAGAAAUAGAGACAAGGCAGCGAUCAGAAGAAAACUUUGAAGAAACUACCACGGCUAUCCUUGGAGAGAGAAGGAAACAUAGCAUAGCCAUAAACAAAACCAGAAUACCAUAAUAAAGGAACAAUCAGAAAA